UACGAAGGGGGCGAGCGUUGUUCGGAUUUACUGGGCGUAAAGGGCGCGUAGGCGGCGGGUCAAGUCGAGUGUGAAAGCCCCGGGCUCAACCUGGGAAUUGCGCUCGAGACUGGUCUGCUUGAGUUCGGGAGAGGAGCGUGGAAUUCCCAGUGUAGAGGUGAAAUUCGUAGAUAUUGGGAAGAACACCGGUGGCGAAGGCGGCGCUCUGGACCGAGACUGACGCUGAGGCGCGAAAGCGUGGGGAGCAAACAGG
rnacentral:rRNA from 1 species